GUCAACAGAGUCUAUGGCCUGAACAAGCCCGAUCCCGUCUGAUCUCGGAAGCUAAGCAGGGGCGGGCCUGGUUAGUUUAGUACUUAGAUGGGAGACCACCUAGGAAGACCAGGUGCUCUAGGCC
rnacentral:rRNA from 1 species